UCAUAUGGGAGGCAGCAGUAGAGAAUCUUCGGCAAUGGACGAAAGUCUGACCGAGCAACGCCGCGUGAGUGAAGAAGGUCUUCGGAUCGUAGAACUCUGUUGUUAGAGAGAACAAGGAUGAGAGUAACUGUCAUCACUGACUGUAUCUACCAGAAGUCAUAG
rnacentral:rRNA from 1 species